rnacentral:rRNA from 1 species
AACGAACGCUGGCGGCAGGCUUAACACAUGCAAGUCGAGCGCCCCGCAAGGGGCGCGGCAGACGGGGGAGUAACGCGUGGGAAUCUACCCAUCUCUACGGAAUAACGCAUGGAAACGUGUGCUAAUACCGUAUACGUCCUUCGGGAGAAAGAUUUAUCGGAGAUGGAUGAGCCCGCGUGGGAUUAGCUAGUUGGUGGGGUAAAGGCCUACCAAGGCGACGAUCCAUAGCUGGUCGGAGAGGAUGAUCAGCCACACUGGGACUGAGACACGGCCCAGACUCCUACGGGAGGCAGCAGUGGGGAAUAUUGGACAAUGGGCGCAAGCCUGAGCCAGCCAUGCCGCGUGAGUGAUGAAGGCCCUAGGGUUGUAAAGCGCUUUCACCGGUGAAGAUAAUGACGGUAACCGGAGGAGAAGCCCCGGCUAAUUUCGUGCCAGCCGCCGCCGUAACAC